AGAAUGUAGCGGCCUGACUAGCUGACUCUCUGUCUACUAGGUAGCAUUAGGACAAGCUGAAAAGAAGUCACUUCGAUAAAGAAAUCAUCUCGACAAAGAAAAAAUGAAUUCUAAAGUUUCCACUGUCAUCUUUCUUGUUGCUCUACAUGUAAACGCUCUCUUGGGGCUGGAGGCGAGGUCUCUUCUAGACUCAAUACUUGAUGGGAAAGAUGAGAAAGAAAAACACCUGCUGGGU